rnacentral:tRNA from 6 species
UGAUUUGCUAGCUCAGUCGGUAGAGCACGUGACUUUUAAUCACGGUGUCCAGGGUUCGAUUCCCUGGCAGAUCACCAA